rnacentral:rRNA from 1 species
AUUGAACGCUGGCGGCAGGCUUAACACAUGCAAGUCGAGCGAGCGGCGGACGGGUGAGUAAUGUCUGGGACACUGCCUGAUGGAGGGGGAUACCUACUGGAAACGGUGGCUAAUACCGCAUACCAUCCGAUGUUCCCAGAUGGGAUUAGCUAUUAGGUGGGGUAAUGGCUUACCUAGGCGACGAUCCCUAGCUGGUCUGUGAGGAGGACCCGCCACACUGGAACUGAGACACGGUCCAGACUCCUACGGGAGGCAGCAGUGGGGAAUAUUGCACAAUGGGCGCAAGCCUGAUGGAGCAACGCCGCGGGUGUGAAGAAGGCCUUCGGGUCGUAAAGCACUUUUAGCGAGGAGGCGUUACUCGCAGAAGAAGCACCGGCUAACUCCGUGCCAGCAGCCGCGGUAAUUC